GAUGAACGCUGGCGGCGUGCUUAACACAUGCAAGUCGAACGAUGAAGCCCAGCUUGCUGGGUGGAUUAGUGGCGAACGGGUGAGUAACACGUGAGUAACCUGCCCUUGACUCUGGGAUAAGCCUGGGAAACUGGGUCUAAUACUGGAUAUGACUUCUCAUCGCAUGGUGGGGGGUGGAAAGAUUUAUUGGUCUUGGAUGGACUCGCGGCCUAUCAGCUUGUUGGUGGGGUAAUGGCUCACCAAGGCGACGACGGGUAGCCGGCCUGAGAGGGUGACCGGCCACACUGGGACUGAGACACGGCCCAGACUCCUACGGGAGGCAGCAGUGGGGAAUAUUGCACAAUGGGCGGAAGCCUGAUGCAGCGACGCCGCGUGAGGGAUGACGGCCUUCGGGUUGUAAACCUCUUUCGGUAGGGAAGAAGCGAGAGUGACGGUACCUGCAGAAGAAGCGCCGGCUAACUACGUG
rnacentral:rRNA from 1 species